rnacentral:rRNA from 1 species
AUUGAACGCUGGCGGCAUGCUUUACACAUGCAAGUCGAACGGUAACAGGCCGCAAGGUGGUGACGAGUGGCGAACGGGUGAGUAAUGCAUCGGAACGUGCCCAGUCGUGGGGGAUAACGCAGCGAAAGCUGUGCUAAUACCGCAUACGAUCUGUGGAUGAAAGCGGGGGACCGUAAGGCCUCGCGCGAUUGGAGCGGCCGAUGUCAGAUUAGGUAGUUGGUGGGGUAAAGGCUCACCAAGCCAACGAUCUGUAGCUGGUCUGAGAGGACGACCAGCCACACUGGGACUGAGACACGGCCCAGACUCCUACGGGAGGCAGCAGUGGGGAAUUUUGGACAAUGGGCGCAAGCCUGAUCCAGCAAUGCCGCGUGCAGGAAGAAGGCCUUCGGGUUGUAAACUGCUUUUGUACGGAGCGAAAAGGCUCCCUCUAAUACAGGGGGCUCAUGACGGUACCGUAAGAAUAAGCACCGGCUAACUACGUGCCAGCCGCCGCCGUAAAAC